GCUUAACACAUGCAAGUCGAGGGGCAGCAUGGUCUUAGCUUGCUAAGGCCGAUGGCGACCGGCGCACGGGUGAGUAACACGUAUCCAACCUGCCGUCUACUCUUGGACAGCCUUCUGAAAGGAAGAUUAAUACAAGAUGGCAUCAUGAGUCUGCAUGUUCACAUGAUUAAAGGUAUUCCGGUAGACGAUGGGGAUGCGUUCCAUUAGAUAGUAGGCGGGGUAACGGCCCACCUAGUCUUCGAUGGAUAGGGGUUCUGAGAGGAAGGUCCCCCACAUUGGAAUUGAGACACGGUCCAAACUCCUACGGGAGGCAGCAGUGAGGAAUAUUGGUCAAUGGGCGAGAGCCUGAACCAGCCAAGUAGCGUGAAGGAUGACUGCCCUAUGGGUUGUAAACUUCUUUUAUAAAGGAAUAAAGUCGGGUAUGGAUACCCGUUUGCAUGUACUUUAUGAAUAAGGAUCGGCUAACUCCGUGCCAGCAGCCGCGGUAAUACGGAGGAUCCGAGCGUUAUCCGGAUUUAUUGGGUUUAAAGGCAGCGUAGAUGGAUGUUUAAGUCAGUUGGAAAAUUUUGCGGCUCAACCGUAAAAUUGCAGUUGAUACUGGAUAUCUUGAGUGCAGUUGAGGCAGGCGGAAUUCGUGGUGUAGCGGUGAAAUGCUUAGAUAUCACGAAGAACUCCGAUUGCGAAGGCAGCCUGCUAAGCUGCAACUGACAUUGAGGCUCGAAAGUGUGGGUAUCAAACAGGAUUAGAUACCCUGGUAGUCCACACGGUAAACGAUGAAUACUCGCUGUUUGCGAUAUACUGCAAGCGGCCAAGCGAAAGCGUUAAGUAUUCCACCUGGGGAGUACGCCGGCAACGGUGAAACUCAAAGGAAUUGACGGGGGCCCGCACAAGCGGAGGCACAUGUGGUUUAAUUCGAUGAUACGCGAGGAACCUUACCCGGGCUUAAAUUGCAGAUGAAUUACGGUGAAAGCCGUAAGCCGCAAGGCAUCUGUGAAGGUGCUGCAUGGUUGUCGUCAGCUCGUGCCGUGAGGUGUCGGCUUAAGUGCCAUAACGAGCGCAACCCUUGUUGUCAGUUACUAACAGGUUCCGCUGAGGACUCUGACAAGACUGCCAUCGUAAGAUGUGAGGAAGGUGGGGAUGACGUCAAAUCAGCACGGCCCUUACGUCCGGGGCUACACACGUGUUACAAUGGGGGGUACAGAGGGCCGCUACCACGCGAGUGGAUGCCAAUCCCCAAAACCUCUCUCAGUUCGGACUGGAGUCUGCAACCCGACUCCACGAAGCUGGAUUCGCUAGUAAUCGCGCAUCAGCCACGGCGCGGUGAAUACGUUCCCGGGCCUUGUACACACCGCCCGUCAAGCCAUGGGAGCCGGGGGUACCUGAAGUGCGUAACCGCGAGGAGCGCCCUAGGGUAAAACUGGUGACUGGGGCUAAG
rnacentral:rRNA from 1 species